UUUGACUAAGAAACUGUGAGGAGGGUGGUAGGAACCCUGCACGCUAAAAAACUACAAAAUGUGCGGACUGCUUUACGGCAUGCGUCACUUCCCCUGUCGUUAUAAGGACAGAACUCCAGUGUGGGAUUUUGCAAACAUGGCGGAAGGUGGACAACAGAGAAAGAAGCCAAAAGUUUUGUCUGAGGAGGCAAAAAAAAAGAAAAAGAGAGGCUACUCGGAUAAAAGCACAGUCCAGGAUCAACAUUGGCCCGGCUUUCACUCGCUGGCGUGAGCUGAAAGAUCAGGAGGGAUUUCCGACCGACGCUGCCUUGGCUCUGUUCCUGCUGGACUACUAUCAAAAGGAGCAAGUAACUUCUACUCCCCACAAGCAACAUCUCCAACCACUGCAGCGUAUAGUUUCCAGCAUAACAGAAGAGGUCGGACCAUGAUAGGGGAGAACUGAUAGAGGGUGUCCAAAUCCUGGAAGAAGGCACUGGGGCAGAAGAAGCUGGUGUAUUAGAGGCCAGGUCCCAUGCUGUUUGCUCAUGGGCUCAGGCACAUUGCACAGGACUCACAUGGAACAGUAUGCUGAGUGGUGCAGGACAGAAGGGGAGGGACUUCUGUCACAAACAGUGCAUCACAGCUCAGACGGGCUGGUGCAGCCAGAGACCAGUCUGAAAUCUUGCCUUGGAUUAAAGACAUUGUGAACCAUUUCUGGUACUGUGCCAAGCAGGCAUCCACUGUCGAGCAGUUCAAGAUGAAAUGGCAUGCUGUAAUUCAUCACAUUCGGAACCAGCACACAUGGGCCACUGGAUCUUGUGAGCAUGAGCCACUGGGUGAAGAUACACAGGAAAAACCAUGGAUAAAACAAGGUUCAGCAGCUCACCAGGCUCUUGUAGCCAUCGUCCUGGAGAAGCGAUGAUUGAAGAAUGUUGUGAAGUUCAUCAACUUCAGGACAACAUCCGAUCUGGAAAGCUUCCAGAAUCACAUACUCAUGUAUGCAGGAAAGCGGUUCUCCUAUACUCCAGCAGUGUACCGGACGCGGACUCUGCUUGCUGCGAUAGACUACAACUGUGACAAUGGCCGCGCCCCGGCACGAAACAAAGAUGGACACAAGAUUUACAGACGAUGCUACAAUAAGAAGUCCAAAUCCUGGAGUGUCUGCACAGUGAAGGAAAAGAAGUACUCCUACAUUCAAGACCUGCAGAGAGGCAUUCUUCGGAAGAGGCUUGAAAAUGGAGGUGGCCUUCCCAAGACACAGACCCUGAGGCCAGAUGACCCCCGGAAUUUCGUGGUUCUGGCUUCAACACAGCCGCCACCAACAGCUGAGCUUGUGAGGACGCACGUGAAAUAUGGUGAAGGUGUUCCCCAAAGUGAACACUGACGAUCCUUCCUUGUCUGCUUUCAUAAAUGCACAUCAAUACAACAUAUCACUCUGACAGGCUGACUACAGACACAUAGUGACAGCUUUACUGGACCCCCACCCACACUGCUGCUACUGUACUUAUUGUAAUUGUUCUCAGUAACUUCUAACAUUGUCACACAGAUUAUUCAGUAUUUUUUUAUUUAUACUGUCAUAGUUUGUUCAAUCAAAACAUACACAUAUCCUGCCAUUGUAAAAAUGCACAUUGCAUUCACGCUAAGAGUGUGCAUGUGCCUGUUUUUCCUUUUUUCUCUAGGUCCUGUUUUAUUACUUACUCACUUUACUGUGAAGGAACAAGUGCCAAAGACAAAGUACUUGAAAUUUGAAAACAGUGAAAGAUGGUGUAUAAAUAAACGUUUGUCUUGUUUUGCACAGAUGUAUUUAUUUUGAAACACACACACAACAAGUGGACAGUCUAAAGGCAAAUUCUGUACAAAAAAAACUAUAAAAACUUAUUACAGUGCAGUCAAACAAUGACACGCUACAUUAGUCUGCGGACCAGGAAUCCGGUGUACUGCCCCCUUGGGUCUGGAAAACUCUCUCCAGGUCAGUGUUCAUCUCGUUACAGUUUGCGCAGGAGCACCGAUGUAGAUCACCUCCACCUGGGACUCUCUGACGAUUAGGGUCCUCCAGCAGGUCCAAAAUGUCGAACACCAAGCCAGGUGUUGAAAGGAACACUUAUAGGAGCUCUCCCCUCUGAUUGUGGUCCAGUGCUUGUAUUCUGGCUUGCAUCUCUCUGUUUCUGCGUUCGUGCAGAUCCUGUACUCUCUGCUGGGUCUCGGGGUUCAAGUCUUCUGGUGUCCUACUUCUCCCUCUGCCCCUCCCUCUGCCAGCACUAGUGCGUGGGGGCUCACACUCAGAAGAGGUGGAGGUAGUUUCUGGGACAGGGAAUUCCUGAAAAAAAAAA